rnacentral:lncRNA from 1 species
GAAGAUGACGCUGCUUCGCGCGCUUUGGUACCAAUAGUUUGAAUCCCUCCAAUCAUGGCCUGACAUGCGCGCUAGCCUUUAGCCAUUUUAUUUAGUUUGUUUUAUUUUUUCAUUUUUCUUUUCUUUUUCUUUUCUCAAUUAAUUUUUAAUGAUUUUUAAUUCAUUUUUUCUCCAUUUCUUUUUAUAGAAAAUCUCUAAAACUAUUUUGCAUAUCAUAUAUGUUUUUCAUAAUUUUUAAAAUCUUUUUUUCAUUUAAUUGCUAUUUUUCUCCUAUUUCUCUAUUAAUUUCAUUUAUGAUUUUACUUUCAAUCAUGUUUUGUAUUUUCAUUUGUAAUAUUCCUGACUUCUCAUAAUUUUUCAAUCCGUUUC